rnacentral:lncRNA from 1 species
AGAAAAUGAGAGAGAGGCUUCCAUCUCUCAGGUCUGCUGGGAGGAUCUUUAUGGUUGAUUUACUUUUUUUAAAUAAAUGUUUCUUUAUGUGUUUCCCUCAGUUCCUGCCCAGGCUGACUCUAUCAUACAAGCUGUAACUUCUGCCAGUCCUAUCAGCCAGCAAACAGUUUUGCUGGAGAGGGAGAAGGCAGCAACAGAGACAGCAUGGUGGAGUGAGGUGAGCAUCAUGAGAAAGCCAUCUGGACUCUCUCUUCUGACCUCUACCAUCCGUGCAUCCUUCCCUGAGCAAGACCUGACACAGGACGUCUUGGAAGUUCAAGCUCAUCAUCUGUAUAAGAGGGUGAUACCGUUUGGAUGUUUAUCUGCUCCAAAUCUCAUCUCUAAAUGUGAUCCCCAAUGUUGGAGGCAGGGACUGGCAGGAGGUGUUUGGAUCAUGGGGAUGGAUCCCUCAUGAAUGGCUUGGUUCCAUUCUUGCAGUAAUGAGUGAGGUCUUGCUCUAUCAGUUCACAAGAGAUCCGUUUGUGUAAAAGAGUGUGGUACCUCUCCCAUCCCUCCUGCACUCUCUCUCACCAUGUGACAUGCCAGCUCCCCUUCAUCUUCCACCAUGAUUGUAAGCUUCCUGAGGCCUCACCAGAAGUUAAGCAGAUGCUGGUGCUAUGCUUGUACAGCCUUCAGAACUGUGAGCGAAAUAAACCUCUUUUCUUUAUAAAUUACCCAGUCCCAGGCAUUUCUUUAUGACAAUGCAAAAUAGAUCAAUACAAAAAGACCUCAGUGUCCUUGCUGAUGAAGGGCAGAACCCUGGAUGAGACUAUUACUGAGAGCCAGGAGGAAAAACAUUACCUCUCUCCACAGUAUCCAGGGCCUUUACAUACACAUUUCCAUGCUGCUCCUUAGAACAGCUCUAGGAUUUUGGCUGGUGAGGGAUCAUUAUACCCAUGGUGGAGAUGUCAUCAGUGUGUGUCACUGAGACUCAACAGGUGAAGUGAGUUUCCCAAGAACACACUCAGAAGAACAGAGCCAGGGCCAAGACUCACAUCUUCUGCUUUAUUUAUAUGAUGUUGCCUCUGCAAAACUCAUUCCUGUGAAGGCAAUUCCAAUCCCUCCCCACCCUGGGUUUUAAUUUAUCAGACAUCCUAAGUGCAAGUGGGUCAUUCCAAACAUCCCUUUCGGCCUGUUCCUUCACUUACAAACUAUGCCUCCAAGUCCCAAAUGGUGCCAGUUCUCAAGGAGAGAAAUUUACUCAUUACACUUAGAAUUUUGAAUGAACAUUUCACAUAGAAACCUGACUGAAAGCAAAUAUUUCACUUGCCCAUAAUGCAAAACAAAGCUUGGGUUUAAAAAUAAACACAGCACUGAAAUGACAAUUAUAUUGACGAGAAUACCAUAAACAAGACCAGAUCCUGAUCAGAUGCCUCUUGCAUGGCGUGCCUACCUUUAACAUGUUGGUGUUAUACUUUGUCUCCCUAUUUAAUUAAAACUGUGUACCUAACAAGGGCCAUAUUGUUAAAGGAGUUUGUUUCUUGCACUUGGCUUUCUAUGCAGUCAUCAAAACAGCUGUGUUUCAAGUUGCAUUCUCUGCCAGUUUUGCUAGAUUUUGUAUUUGCACUUGCGGAUUUUUUUUUCUCUUUCAACUUUUAUGUGGGAACAAAUACUUAACCCAGAU